rnacentral:rRNA from 1 species
CCUACGGGUGGCAGCAGUAGGGAAUCUUCCUCAAUGGCCGAAAGCCUGAUGGAGCAACGCCGCGUGGGUGUAGAUGGUCUUCGGAUCGUAAAACUCUGUUGUUAGAGAAGAAAGUUCGUGAGAGUAACUGUUCACGUUUCGACGGUAUCUAACCAGAAAGCCACGGCUAACUACGUGCCAGCAGCCGCGGUAAUACGUAGGUGGCAAGCGUUAUCCGGUUUUAUUGGGCGUAAAGGGAACGCAGGCGGUCUUUUAAGUCUGAUGUGAAAGCCUUCGGCUUAACCGGAGUAGUGCAUUGGAUACUGGGAGGCUUGAGUGCAGAAGAGGAGAGUGGAACUCCAUGUGUAGCGGUGAAAUGCGUAGAUAUAUGGAAGAACACCGGGUGCGAAAGCAGCUCUCUGGUCUGUAACUGACGCUGAGGUUCGAAAGCGUGGGUAGCAAACAGGAUUAGAUACCCUGGUAGUC